rnacentral:rRNA from 1 species
CCUACGGGGGGCAGCAGUGAGGAAUAUUGGUCAAUGGGCGAAAGCCUGACGGAGCAACGCCGCGUGAUCGAAUGAAGGCCUUCGGGUUGUAAAGAUCUGUUGACAGGGACGAAUAAGCCAUGCGAAUAGUUUUUUGUAUGACGCUACCUGUUUAGAAAGCGCCGGCUAACUACGUGCCAGCAGCCGCGGUAAUACGUAGGGAGCAAGCGUUGUCCGGAAUUACUGGGCGUAAAGGGCGCGUAGGUGGGCGCUUAAGUCAGGUGUGAAACGUCCGGGCUCAACCCGGGGACUGCAGUUGAAACUGGGUGUCUUGAGGGCAGGAGAGGAAAGUGGAAUUCCUAGUGUAGCGGUGAAAUGCGUAGAUAUUAGGAGGAACACCAGUGGCGAAGGCGACUUGCUGGACUGUAACUGACGCUGAGGCGCGAAAGCGUGGGUAGCGAACGGGAUUAGAUACCCUUGUAGUC